rnacentral:rRNA from 1 species
GACGAACGCUGGCGGCGUGCUUAACACAUGCAAGUCGAACGGAGUGGCGAACGGGUGAGUAUUACGUGAGUAACCUGCCCUCCACUGUGGGAUAAGCCUGGGAAACUGGGUCUAAUACUGCAUCGUUGGUGAUGGGCUCGCGGCCUAUCCGCGUGUUGGUGGGUUGAUGGCCUACCAAGGCGGUGACGGGAAGCCGGCCUGAGAGGGUGGUCGGCAACAGUGGUACUGAGAUACUGGCCAGACUGCUACGGGAGGGAGCAGUGGGGGAUAGGGCACAAGGGGCGCAAGCCGGAGGCAGGGAAGCCGAGUGAGGGAUUAAGGCUUUCGGGUUGUAAAUCUCUGUCGGUACAGAACGGGUAUGUGAAGAAGAAGCGCCGGCUAACUACGUGCCAGCAGCCGCGGUAAUUC